UUUUAUGGAGAGUUUGAUCCUGGCUCAGGAUGAACGCUGGCGGCGUGCCUAAUACAUGCAAGUCGAGCGAACGGACGAGAAGCUUGCUUCUCUGAUGUUAGCGGCGGACGGGUGAGUAACACGUGGAUAACCUACCUAUAAGACUGGGAUAACUUCGGGAAACCGGAGCUAAUACCGGAUAAUAUUUUGAACCGCAUGGUUCAAAAGUGAAAGACGGUCUUGCUGUCACUUAUAGAUGGAUCCGCGCUGCAUUAGCUAGUUGGUAAGGUAACGGCUUACCAAGGCAACGAUGCAUAGCCGACCUGAGAGGGUGAUCGGCCACACUGGAACUGAGACACGGUCCAGACUCCUACGGGAGGCAGCAGUAGGGAAUCUUCCGCA
rnacentral:rRNA from 1 species